AGAGUUUGAUCAUGGCUCAGAAUGAACGCUGGCGGCAUGCCUAACACAUGCAAGUCGAACGAGAUCUUCGGAUCUAGUGGCGCACGGGUGAGUAACGCGUGGGAACCUACCUUUUAGUACGGGACAACGUUUGGAAACGAACGCUAAUACCGUAUACGCCCUCCGGGGGAAAGGUCAGCCGCUAAAAGAGGGGCCCGCGUCUGAUUAGCUUGUUGGUAAGGUAAUGGCUUACCAAGGCUACGAUCAGUAGCUGGUCUGAGAGGAUGAUCAGCCACACUGGGACUGAGACACGGCCCAGACUCCUACGGGAGGCAGCAGUGGGGAAUAUUGGACAAUGGAGGCAACUCUGAUCCAGCAAUGCCGCGUGUGUGAUGAAGGCCCUAGGGUUGUAAAGCACUUUCAACGGUGAAGAUGAUGACGGUAGCCGUAGAAGAAGCCCCGGCUAACUUCGUGCCAGCAGCCGCGGUAAUACGAAGGGGGCGAGCGUUAUUCGGAAUUAUUGGGCGUAAAGGGCUCGCAGGCUGCUUGAACAGUUAGACGUGAAAUCCCCGGGCUUAACCUGGGAACUGCGUUUAAUACUAGCAAGCUAGAGAAAUAGAGAGGAAAGUGGAACUCCCAGUGUAGAGGUGAAAUUCGUAAUUUUGGGAAGAACACCAGUGGCGAAAGCGACUUUCUGGCUAUUUUCUGACGCUGAGAGCGAAAGCGUGGGGAGCAAACAGGAU
rnacentral:rRNA from 1 species